UACGGGGGGGGCAAGCGUUGUUCGGAAUUACUGGGCGUAAAGGGCUCGUAGGUGGCCAACUAAGUCAGACGUGAAAUCCCUCGGCUUAACCGGGGAACUGCGUCUGAUACUGGAUGGCUUGAGUUCGGGAGAGGGAUGCGGAAUUCCAGGUGUAGCGGUGAAAUGCUUAGAUAUGACAUAGAACACCAAUUGCGAAGGCAGCUUACUACCCGAAUAUUGACACUGAGGCACGAAAGCGUGGGGAUCAAACAGG
rnacentral:rRNA from 1 species